CAGUAGCCGCGGGAAUACGUAGGUGGCAAGCGUUGUCCGGAAUUAUUGGGCGUAAAGGGCUCGCAGGCGGUUUCUUAAGUCUGAUGUGAAAGCCCCCGGCUCAACCGGGGAGGGUCAUUGGAAACUGGGAAACUUGAGUGCAGAAGAGGAGAGUGGAAUUCCACGUGUAGCGGUGAAAUGCGUAGAGAUGUGGAGGAACGCCAGUGGCGAAGGCGACUCUCUGGUCUGUAACUGACGCUAAGGAGCGAAAGCGUGGGGAGCGAACAGGAUUAGAUACCCCCGUAGUCCCUGUCUCUUAUAC
rnacentral:rRNA from 1 species